rnacentral:rRNA from 1 species
UUCCGGUUGAUCCCGCCGGACCUGACUGCUAUCGGAUUGAUACUAAGCCAUGCGAGUCUUUGUAGUAAUACAAGGCAGACGGCUCAGUAACACGUAGUCAACCUACCCUAUGGACGAGAAUAAUCUCGGGAAACUGAGCAUAAUUCUUGAUAGAUCAUAAUGCCUGGAAUGGUUUAUGGUUAAAAUGAUUCGUCGCCAUAGGAUGGGACUGCGGCCUAUCAGCUUGUUGGUGAGGUAAUGGCCCACCAAGGCGAUUACAGGUACGGGCUCUGAGAGGAGAAGCCCGGAGAUGGGUACUGAGACACGGACCCAGGCCCUAUGGGGCGCAGCAGGCGAGAAAACUUUGCAAUGUGCGAAAGCACGACAAGGUUAAUCCGAGUGAUUUCUGCUAAAGAAAUCUUUUGUCAGUCAUAAAACCACUGGCGAAUAAGGGGUGGGCAAGUUCUGGUGUCAGCCGCCGCGGUAAAACCAGCACCUCAAGUGGUCAGGAUGAUUAUUGGGCCUAAAGCAUCCGUAGCCGGCUUUGUUAGUUUUCGGUUAAAUCCAUGUGCUCAACGCAUGGGCUGCCGAAAAUACUGCAUAGCUAGGGAGUGGGAGAGGUAGACGGUACUCAGUAGGAAGGGGUAAAAUCCUUUGAUCUAUUGAUGACCACCUGUGGCGAAGGCGGUCUACCAGAACACGUUCGACGGUGAGGGAUGAAAGCUGGGGGAGCAAACCGGAUUAGAUACCCGGGUAGUCCCAGCUGUAAACGAUGCAGACUCGAUGAUGCAUUGGCAUAAUAGCCAGUGCAGUGUCGCAGGGAAGCCGUUAAGUCUGCCGCCUGGGAAGUACGUACGCAAGUAUGAAACUUAAAGGAAUUGGCGGGGGAGCACCACAAGGGGUGAAGCCUGCGGUUCAAUUGGAUUCAACGCCGGG